CGUCCCUGCAGCAACGACAGGAUUAUGAAAAUGAGACUGACCACAUCUGGCAGUGUUUUGUAUCACCACUGUCUCUGUAUCAACAAAGAACUGUAGCAUCCACCUUCUAGCUGCACCAUCAGCCCUGUGACUGGGAGAUCAUCCAUUAUCCUGCUGAAAUUAACCUUGGUUCACCGGCGGGAAGAGUGACUGCAUCGGUUUAUUGGGACAUAUUUUGAUACCUUUUUGGACUUUAACCAAUGUCGCGAGAUUGUCAAUAAAGUUAUUGUGAGACUGAUAAGAUGGCGCUCUCCAUGUUGUGAAGUCUUGGUGAUUCAAUGUGAGGAACCUGAUAGUGUUCUUAUUGUUGUUACAGCCUGUAGCAAAGAGACAGGAUUAAAUCUAAGGUCAUCGUGACUUAUCUUCACUACAAUAACUCUAACAGUUUCGGCAUCCUUUCUCUCCUCACCGUCCCGCUCAAUUCCCCCACCGCCAAAAAAGGCCUGAGGCUGAUACGGUAGAUAACGAGAACAAGUCGAAUAGUCAAAGCAGGCAAGAGCUUGGUAGAUAACGAGAUGCCAAUGUUGUAUC